UUGUGUGCGAGUGUGUGUGAGGGCGCCCCCUUACAAAAAAAAUUAUCGUUUAAUUUCUUUCGCUUUUGCCACAAGCGGGUGACUUUUGUGCAACUCUGCCACAAAAGGGGAUGUCCUCUUAAGCGGUGGCUACAACAACAACCAAAGGAGCUGCACCAGCCACCAGCCACCACCCACCACGCUUCUUAUCAGCCCACUGAUAACCCGAGGUCGCCGACGCUGCCGCCAUGAACUGAUUGCCACAAAGAGAGGGAAGGAAGUAAGGGGGAAAAUUAAUGCAGCAGAACGAGGGAAAAGGCAGAGAUUCUACCUUGGGCUCAAGGACCGCUUCAAAAUAUGGCUGUGGUGGACCCAAGGGCUUUUCGAGAUUGAAUGAUAUUCUUCCCCCGAAAAUACACUCCCUUUUCCCGCAAUGUUGUGGGUCACUGUGCCGUGACCGCUUGUGGUGGUCCCUUCUGCCUCGUUGGUGAAAUGUAUAUCAAGAACAGCAGACACACUUGCCCCGGACAUGCCCCGGACGUGCCCCAACUAUCAUUCAACGACGCUGCCACACCACUGACACAAUUUCAAUUUGCAACAAACUAAAGUUUGAGCGCGCGAAAAAUGCAAAUGCAACACGUGCCCUAGUCCCUACCCCCACACACUCCCCCCCUCCCCUAUAAAAUU
rnacentral:sRNA from 1 species